AGCGAAACAUUGAACCUUCGGGGGAUUUGUUGGGCGGCGACGGACGGGUGAGUAAUGCCUGGGAAAUUGCCCUGAUGUGGGGGAUAACCAUUGGAAACGAUGGCUAAUACCGCAUGAUAGCUUCGGCUCAAAGAGGGGGACCUUCGGGCCUCUCGCGUCAGGAUAUGCCCAGGUGGGAUUAGCUAGUUGGUGAGGUAAGGGCUCACCAAGGCGACGAUCCCUAGCUGGUCUGAGAGGAUGAUCAGCCACACUGGAACUGAGACACGGUCCAGACUCCUACGGGAGGCAGCAGUGGGGAAUAUUGCACAAUGGGCGCAAGCCUGAUGCAGCCAUGCCGCGUGUAUGAAGAGGCCUUCGGGUUGUAAAGUACUUUCAGCAGUGAGGAAGGGGGUAUCGUUAAUAGCGGUACUCUUUGACGUUAGCUGCAGAAGAAGCACCGGCUAACUCCGUGCCAGCAGCCGCGGUAAUACGGAGGGUGCGAGCGUUAAUCGGAAUUACUGGGCGUAAAGCGCAUGCAGGUGGUUUGUUAAGUCAGAUGUGAAAGCCCGGGGCUCAACCUCGGAAUUGCAUUUGAAACUGGCAGGCUAGAGUACUGUAGAGGGGGGUAGAAUUUCAGGUGUAGCGGUGAAAUGCGUAGAGAUCUGAAGGAAUACCGGUGGCGAAGGCGGCCCCCUGGACAGAU
rnacentral:rRNA from 1 species